CCUUAACGAGAAUCUGAUACGUUCCAGUCAGACCAGAGGGGAAAGACGCUAAUACAGCUUCGCAACC
rnacentral:pre_miRNA from 1 species